GCCAGACUCCUACGGGAGGCAGCAGUGGGGAAUAUUGCACAAUGGGGGAAACCCUGAUGCAGCGACGCCGCGUGAGUGAAGAAGUAUUUCGGUAUGUAAAGCUCUAUCAGCAGGGAAGAUAAUGACGGUACCUGACUAAGAAGCCCCGGCUAACUACGUGCCAGCAGCCGCGGUAAUACGUAGGGGGCAAGCGUUAUCCGGAUUUACUGGGUGUAAAGGGAGCGUAGGUGGCAGGGCAAGUCAGAUGUGAAAACCCGGGGCUCAACCCCGGGAGUGCAUUUGAAACUGUCCAGCUGGAGUGCAGGAGAGGUAAGCGGAAUUCCUAGUGUAGCGGUGAAAUGCAUAGAUAUUAGGAGGAACACCAGUGGCGAAGGCGGCUUACUGGACUGUAACUGACACUGAGGCUCGAAAGCGUGGGGAGCAAACAGGAUUAGAUACCCGCGUA
rnacentral:rRNA from 1 species